UGCAAGUCGAACGGCAGCACGGGAGCUUGCUCCUGGUGGCGAGUGGCGGACGGGUGAGUAACACGUAGGAAUCUGCCUAGUAGUGGGGGAUAACCCGGGGAAACUCGGGCUAAUACCGCAUACGCUCUACGGAGGAAAGCGGGGGAUCUUCGGACCUCGCGCUAUUAGAUGAGCCUGCGUCCGAUUAGCUAGUUGGCGGGGUAAAAGCCCACCAAGGCGACGAUCGGUAGCUGGUCUGAGAGGACGAUCAGCCACACUGGAACUGAGACACGGUCCAGACUCCUACGGGAGGCAGCAGUGGGGAAUAUUGGACAAUGGGCGCAAGCCUGAUCCAGCAAUGCCGCGUGUGUGAAGAAGGCCUGCGGGUUGUAAAGCACUUUAAGCAGGAAAGAAGGCUUCGGAGUUAAUACCUUCGAAGAUUGACGUUACCUGCAGAAUAAGCACCGGCUAACUCCGUGCCAGCAGCCGCGGUAAUACGGAGGGUGCGAGCGUUAAUCGGAAUUACUGGGCGUAAAGCGCGCGUAGGCGGUUUGCUAAGUCCGCUGUGAAAGCCCUGGGCUUAACCUGGGAACUGCAGUGGAUACUGGCAGGCUAGAGUAUGGUAGAGGAGAGUGGAAUUUCCGGUGUAGCAGUGAAAUGCGUAGAGAUCGGAAGGAACACCAGUGGCGAAGGCGGCUCUCUGGACUAAUACUGACGCUGA
rnacentral:rRNA from 1 species